rnacentral:misc_RNA from 1 species
UACGGAGGGGGCUAGCGUUGUUCGGAAUGACUGGGCGUAAAGGGCGCGUAGGCGGCGGUAUAAGUCGGAUGUGAAAGCCCCGGGCUCAACCUGGGAGGUGCAUUCGAUACUGUAUUGCUUGAGACCGGGAGAGGUGAGUGGAAUUCCCAGUGUAGAGGUGAAAUUCGUAGAUAUUGGGAAGAACACCGGUGGCGAAGGCGGCUCACUGGACCGGAUCUGACGCUGAGGCGCGAAAGCGUGGGGAGCAAACAGG